rnacentral:rRNA from 1 species
UACGUAGGGGGCAAGCGUUGUCCGGAAUUAUUGGGCGUAAAGCGCGCGCAGGCGGCAAGGAAAGUCUUGUGUCAAAGACCGGAGCUCAACUCCGGGUUGCAUGGGAAACUGCCUUGCUUGAGUGUAGGAGAGGGAAGUGGAAUUCCACGUGUAGCGGUGAAAUGCGUAGAUAUCAUUUGGAACGCCAAUGGUGAAAACAGUUCGCUGGGGGUGCACUGACACUGAGACACGAAAGCCAGGGGAGCGAACGGG